rnacentral:rRNA from 1 species
ACAGCCGUUGCACACGAGUCAGUCGAUCCUAAGCCCUAGGAGAGAUCCGAUGUCGAUGUGGGGAGCUAUUCGUAGCUCCUCCUCGAUGGGCGAAAGGGAAUCCGGUUCCUAUUCCGGAACCCGGCAGCGGAACUGAAUCUACGGGCCCUCAUCAGAGAAGCUCGUCGGGGUAACCCAAAGGGACCCGGAGACGCCGUCGGGAGACCCGGGCAGAGUUUUCUGUUCUGCAUAAGCGUUCGUAGUUA